UCCUAGUGCGCUGGGCAGUGGAGGU
rnacentral:piRNA from 1 species